rnacentral:rRNA from 1 species
CUAGGUGUCGGGGGAAUCGACCCCUUCGGUGUCGUAGCUAACGCGUUAAGUGUUCCGCCUGGGGAGUACGCACGCAAGUGUGAAACUCAAAGGAAUUGACGGGGGCCCGCACAAGCGUGGAGUAUGUGGUUUAAUUCGAUGCAACGCGAAGAACCUUACCAGGGUUUGACAUCCUGCGAACCUCUUAGAAAUUUGAGGGUGCCUUCGGGAAUGCAGUGACAGGUGGUGCAUGGCUGUCGUCAGCUCGUGUCGUGAGAUGUUGGGUUAAGUCCCGCAACGAGCGCAACCCACGUUUUUAGUUGCCAGCAUUUAGUUGGGCACUCUAGAAAGACCGCCGGUGAUAAACCGGAGGAAGGUGUGGAUGACGUCAAGUCAUCAUGCCCCUUACACCCUGGGCUACACACGUACUACAAUGCUACGGACAAAGGGCAGCAAACUCGCGAGAGCUAGCAAAUCCCAUAAACCGUGGCUCAGUUCAGAUCGUAGGCUGCAACUCGCCUACGUGAAGUAGGAAUCGCUAGUAAUCGCAGGUCAGCAUACUGCGGUGAAUACGUUCCUGGGCCUU